AUUGAACGCUGGCGGCAGGCCUAACACAUGCAAGUCGAACGGCAGCACAGAAGAGCUUGCUCUUUGGGUGGCGAGUGGCGGACGGGUGAGUAAUGUCUGGGAAACUGCCCGAUGGAGGGGGAUAACUACUGGAAACGGUAGCUAAUACCGCAUAACGUCGCAAGACCAAAGUGGGGGACCUUCGGGCCUCACACCAUCGGAUGUGCCCAGAUGGGAUUAGCUAGUAGGUGGGGUAAUGGCUCACCUAGGCGACGAUCCCUAGCUGGUCUGAGAGGAGGACCAGCCACACUGGAACUGAGACAUGGUCCAGACUCCUACGGGAGGCAGCAGUGGGGAAUAUUGCACAAUGGGCGCAAGCCUGAUGCAGCCAUGCCGCGUGUAUGAAGAAGGCCUUCGGGUUGUAAAGUACUUUCAGCGGGGAGGAAGGCGGUGAGGUUAAUAACCUCGCCGAUUGACGUUACCCGCAGAAGAAGCACCGGCUAACUCUGUGCCAGCCGCCGCCGUAA
rnacentral:rRNA from 1 species